GUCAGCAGCCCGAGGCUUUUCUCCUCUGGGGGUAACCCGGCCUCCUCCUGGAGGGGAGGUUGAUCGUGUUGUCUGGGAGGUGAUAGCAUGCCACAGUGGGGUGUUCCUGGCCCCUGGAGAGAAUGGGCCGUGACACGUGUCCCCUGAGACGGAGGACAGGCUCCCUCAAGCUCGGGCUUCAUGGGUGGCAGGGAGGAGAGCACAGAAACCAGGGUGGGUCUCCCCAGGAGUAGAGGUGGCCUCAGCUCCCAGGGUGGUAGAGCCUGGAGAGUCCACUGGUAUUAGGCGCUCUCCCCAAUCUGAUCUGGAACAGGAGUCAGACCGGGUGACCUUCAGUCCCACCCACUCCCAGGCAGGCUCUUUCGGGUGCGUCUCUUUGGCUGGCUUGAGCCGGCAAUGGUGCUUGGGUCUUAGAGAGGCAGGAGAAGGACAUGUUGGAAGUGUCAGGUUCAAGGACCCAGAUCUGCACUGUCAGGGACGCCCUGGGGAGGAGGUAGAGCUUGGAGGGCCCCCACUGGCUCCUCCCAUGCCCACCCUCCUGCUCAGGCCUCACCUGUGCACACUGAGUGCCGAGUCUUUGGUGCAGCCUCGAGGGUGGACACCGUACAACAAUCUGCAGUCUACUGCAAUGCAGAGUCCCAGACAGAAAGUGUGUGCUCACUACGAUCCAAGUUUGGAAUACAAAAUGUGUACGCGUCCACUUAGGAGGAGGAAUGUUAACAAGGGCUACCUCUGGUUAGUACAAUAACAGGUGAUUUCAAUCUUCUCAUACCUCGUGUGCUUCAGCGUCUUCUCCGUGGCGAAUCUGAGUUGUGUGAACAUUCAGAACACAUGAGCCUCCCUCUGCCCCUCUCCUCCCAAGGUGGCGCCUGUGAACCUUCUCCAGGAGCCAAAUCUCACAAACAGCCAGGAACGGCCCCCCGCCUCCCACCGCCGUGAGUCAUGGAAAAAUACCUUCCUGAAAUAACAGCAGGCUGUGAUUUAACCCAAACAAAACCAGGGCUCUGCCUCCACGGUGCGCCAUGCCUCUCAGGAUCACAAGCUCCAACACAGCCCUGCCGGUGACAUCCGGGAGAACAGAGGCCGCACCAGCUGGCCAAAGUAGCGGAAGCCUUUCCUGCGUUUGCUGUUUUAGCGACAGCCUGCUUCACAGCGGACGGGGCUGGUGGUUACGCCUUCAUCGCUUUGCAGUGCUUCUCAUCCUCAGCUGCACAUUGAAACAUCUUGCUCCCAGCUUUCCUUCUCGGGCCAGUUACAUCAGAAGCCCUAGGAAUGGGCCCAAGACUCAGGCCUCAGAACUAACCAGCCAGCUAAAAUGCAGCCGGAAGGCCACUCAGAGGAGUGGGGCAGCCAGACCUUCCAUCUCCUGAGAGGGAGUGAGUGACAGCCUUUUCAGCUGGUCUGCUGGAAGCCGGUCUCCCAGGGCGUGCGUUAGUGGGGAGCUGGAAUUGGAAGUGGAACUGAGACCUCUGGUGUGGGGUGCAGCAUCCGAGGGGAAUCUCGACAGCUGCAUCAAGAGCCUGCUCCAGCUGUACUGGCUUAAAGCGUACGCUUUGGGACUAACGUUUGACACCACUUGGGGCGCCCACAUCCCAUAUCAGAGUGUUGGCGUGGGCCUACUCCUGCCCUGGCUGUUGCAGGCAUUUGGGGGAAUGAACCAGAGGAUGAAAGAGCUCUCUCUCUCUCUCUCUCUCUCUUUCUGUCUCUCUCUCUUUCUGUCUCUCUGCCUUUCAAAUAAAAUGAAGGUAAUUAAAUAAAUAAAUACUUUUGAAAGAGCGUACAAUUUGAGGGGCUUGGACGUCACCACCAAGACGCACAUGGUGCUGCUGUGUGGCUCCUGCCCUACACACUUCACCCCCUGCACCCUCCCCCGGUCUCCCUUGGGUCCCUGGAGCUCCCUUCGAAACAUUGAGAAUUCCCUAUAGACCAGAAUCACAUGCCAUGUCGUCUUGUGUCCUGCUUUUCCUCUGGCUAAGGAUUUGGCGGUUCGUCCACCUUGCAGCGUGGGUCAGGAGUUUGGUCCCCUGCUGCCGAGUACCACAGCCCUGCAAGGACAAUCCUCCCCAGUGCAUCUAUCUGGCCAGGGCACACACACUGCAUGAGGGACAGAGCAGUGACCCGCAGCUGCAGCCUGGCCGUGUCCCCACACUGAUGUUCCCGGCUUCCCGAUGGCCACCAUAGGCACUGCAGGGAGAGGAACAGCCCCGAGGUGAUGGAUCCCCAAGGGUCAGAAAGGGGAGCCCUGGGUAAGGGGAAAUAUUCCCAGCAAGCUUUGAGGGAUAGAGGGGAGGCUGUAGGGAGACAGGGGUUGGACAGCACACAGCUGGGGAGGGAGCCAGGAAUGGUCCAAGCCAGAGAAAAGUUUUCAGCGCAGUGGUGAUGUGAUCAGACUCGCUAUUUCCCGAGGUACCCUGGCCUUCAUCUGAAAAUGGAUGCUAGGGUCCCUGGUGGAUAUGGAGAGCCGGGAGGGGCUACGGCCACCAUCCAGGCCAGAGGUGGCCACGGCAGGAAGUAGGGUGAGUCUAUGGGAGCCUAGGGGGGUGGUACUGAGCCGAUUUAGGACA